GGUGAAGAAUGUAGGGGUGGCUGGUUGUGACACUGCGCUCAAAAGUGUGUGAUGCAUCCUCGCCAUUAGGAGAUUGUGUCUGAACCAUUGAGGAGCACAGAGCUGACAGCUGAUCUACUGUAAAAUGUUCAAUAACAAUCCAGGAAAUUAUCUUCCAGGCACCUAUGUGCCACCCCAGGUGUUACCACCACCAGGGUCCUACCCUGGGGUUUGUCCCCCUGGAAUGGCUCAGUAUCCUGCAGUGAUGAACCCAUCCCUCGUUGGGCCUCCUGCAGGGUUCCCAGUCUAUGGCCCUGUAUACAACCCAUCACUUUGUGUAGAUGGGCACUGCUAUAGAGAGGGUCAUGGUCACCAUCAUGGCCACCAUCAUGGUCACCAUCAUGGCCAUCAUCAUGGCCACCACCAUGGCCACCAUCAUGGACACUGCUAAUGAAAAUGGGUGGCUUCUGUGUGUGAGCAGUCACUCAGAUUAGAGCAUCACUGAAGGUAUGAAAAAAGGACUCAUCUACCAAGGGACCAUCCAUUCCCAGACUCUUCUUUUCUUUUUAAAAUUUGUUUUCUGUCCUUUCAUUGCUGUUGUGGCAAUGUAAACAGUACUGUACUUAAUAUUUCAGAAAAACCCAUUCCCUAGAGUAACUCUCCCCACCGAGAACCAUAGUUUUAAGGUUUGAGAGUGUGCUGUUUAAAUAUAUAUACAGGAGUCUGACUUCCUGGAA